UCAAUUUUGGAAAACAGUCCAAGUCGGUGGUAGAAUCCUUGAAAUGCUUGAAAAUGUGGACAAUGGAUUUUUCUUCCUUUGUGAGGUUAAGUGAAAUCCUAAGCGAUUAGACGGUUUUGAUUAGCCCAUUCGAUCGUCUUUGUUCAAGCCGAGGGAACACAAUUGCAAUAUGUCGACCACUAAACAAAGAGUCGUAGAUAAAGGUACAGUUUCAUUACCAAGACAACAUUGUGCACGAUUGACAACUAAGUCCAUAGUCAGUCAAAUAAAUAAUUUUUUCAGCAUAAAAAACAUGUAAUGCAUGCAAGUAUUGACCUUAUUUUUAGUAGGAAAAUAUGGUCGUUACUAAAUUAUGAAAGUAUGAAAGUAUUAUGUGUAUCAUGACCCAUGUACCGUGAUUUAAAAUAUAGGAUCUCAUGCAUGUGGUAUACAAACACCGGUUACUUC